AAUAGAUACCCGGGUAGUCCACGCCGUAAACGAUGAGUGCUAGGUGUUGGGGGGUUCCACCCUCAGUGCUGAAGUUAACACAUUAAGCACUCCGCCUGGGGAGUACGACCGCAAGGUUGAAACUCAAAGGAAUUGACGGGGGCCCGCACAAGCAGUGGAGCAUGUGGUUUAAUUCGAAGCAACGCGAAGAACCUUACCAGGUCUUGACAUCCUUUGACCACUCUAGAGAUAGAGCUUUCCCCUUCGGGGGACAAAGUGACAGGUGGUGCAUGGUUGUCGUCAGCUCGUGUCGUGAGAUGUUGGGUUAAGUCCCGCAACGAGCGCAACCCUUGACCUUAGUUGCCAGCAUUCAGUUGGGCACUCUAAGGUGACUGCCGGUGACAAACCGGAGGAAGGUGGGGACACGUCAAAUCAUCAUGCCCCUUAUGACCUGGGCUACACACGUGCUACAAUGGAUGAUACAAAGGGUUGCGAAGCCGCGAGGCCAAGCCAAUCCCAAAAAGUCAUUCUCAGUUCGGAUUGUAGGCUGCAACUCGCCUA
rnacentral:rRNA from 1 species